rnacentral:rRNA from 1 species
GACGAACGCUGGCGGCGUGCUUAACACAUGCAAGUCGAACGGAAAGGCCCUGCUUUUGUGGGGUGCUCGAGUGGCGAACGGGUGAGUAACACGUGAGUAACCUGCCCUUGACUUUGGGAUAACUUCAGGAAACUGGGGCUAAUACCGGAUAGGAGCUCCUGCUGCAUGGUGGGGGUUGGAAAGUUUCGGCGGUUGGGGAUGGACUCGCGGCUUAUCAGCUUGUUGGUGGGGUAGUGGCUUACCAAGGCUUUGACGGGUAGCCGGCCUGAGAGGGUGACCGGCCACAUUGGGACUGAGAUACGGCCCAGACUCCUACGGGAGGCAGUAGUGGGGAAUAUUGCACACUGGGCGGAAGCCUGAUGCAGCGACGCCGCGUGCGGGAUGACGGCCUUCGGGUUGUAAACCGCUUUCGCCUGUGACGAAGCGUGAGUGACGGUAAUGGGUAAAGAAGCACCGGCUAACUACGUG